GGACACCAUAGCUAAGGUUUUCACACUUUCUCAAGCUCAUAGUAAGUGAUUUCAAGCCCCAUUUUUAAUAUUUUUUACGUUUUUGAGAUCCCGAUAGCUUAAUUUAACUUAUUCUAACAAUAAUUUAAUCUAGGAUUUAUAUUUGAAAAAAUACCCAUAGGUGGAAAGUGUUUAUUUUGAUGUUUUAAGGUAUAAUAUGAAGCUAGAAAUUAUGUUAAACAACUUUUACUUGUCAAUUUUAAGCGAAAACGAGUAAAAUUUCAUAAUCGGUAAAAUACUGAAUGUUCAUAAGUAGAUGUUAGAGUGAGAAUUUGAUGUUGUCAUAGAAGAGAAAAAUGUUUAGCAUGUUGUAAAACAUAAGAAUAAGAGAUGAAGUUUAAUUUUCGAGCUUUGGGGAAAAAAUGUAAUUAUGUAAAAGUUUAGGGGCAAAAUUGUAAUUUUUCCAAAGUUAAAGUCGAGGGCUUUUUAAUGAAUGUGAGUAUUAAAUAAGUUAAAUUUUCUAUUAUAGAUCACGAAGAACAGAAUUCGAGGUUAGAUUGAGGAAAGAAUAAGAUUGAAGACUAAGUGGUAGAUUUGGCUAUAUUUGGUACCGAGAUAAGUUUAUGGUAAAUAAAUGCAAUAUUUUAAUAAUUGUUAUUAAUAUUGUUAUUUUCCAGCAAUUAUAUAGUUAUUUCAUGAAUUUAUUUAAUGUUGACUCAAGUAUGAGAUGACAGAGAAUUAGUGAUACAAGCCCCAUUGAAACGUUAGGAAUGUAUUGGAUACAAAUGUCAUGACAUUUGGAUAAAGAGAUCCCAUGUAAGACCAUGUCUGGGACAUGGCAUUGGCAUCCUUAAGAUCAUGAGAGGUCUCAUGUAAGACAUGGUCUGGGACAUGGCAUUGGCACCGAGACGAGAGGUCCUAUGUAAGACCAUGUCUGGGACAUGGCGUUGGCACCAAGAUGAGAGGUCCCCCGUAAGACCAUGUCUGGGACAUGGCAUGAGCACCUAUAUGAGAACUCCCAUGUAAGACCAUUUCUGGGAUAUGGCAUUGGCAGUACAAGAAACAUCCUAUGUAAGUCUAUGUAUGGGACAUAGUUUUGGCAUGUUAUAUUCAGACAGGAGACCCGAGUAUCUUUAGUAUUCCAAGUGAUUCAACGGGCUAGUAAAUAGACGAUGUUACAUGAAAGUUCAGGUAAAAGCUUAAUAGACAAGUUCAGGUGAGUUAAUAAGAUUAAGAGUAUCUCAGUUUUCAGUUGAGAAAAUAAAUUUCAGCAACGAAUGAGUAAGUUAAGCAAGCAAGUAAGUAAACGAGUAAGAGAGUAAGUAAAGAAGAAAGUAAAGAUCUUAAUGCUUAAUGAAAAUUUAUGAAUAUAAUUGUUUAUGAUAAAUAUUGUUAUUUAUUUACUUGUAAACUUACUAAGCUUUAUGCUUACUUAUUUUAUUUCUUUUUCUUUCAUAUAAUAUUAUCAAGCAUAGUCGGGAUCUUGAAGACGUCGGAGAGCAUUCACACUAUCAACCACCACAACUCGGUAUUUUAAGACGAUAAAUGUUUUGAGCUAUGGCAUGUAUAGGGACUUGGUCAUUUCGAUUGUAUAUUUUUAAGAUAUGACCAAAAGAUGAUAUAUAAAUAUUUGAUGAUGAAUAGUUAUUAAAAUGGCUAAGUAUGAAGGUGUUUGUUGUUAUACAUGUCUAUGUGAUAAAUUAUGCAUAGAAAUCAUGAAAGAGUAAUAAUUUGCAAAGAAACAGAUUUCAAACAGCAGCGGUGACGUGAUUUUGAAAAAUCACUUAGGAUAGUAUAAAAUUAAUUAGAAGGUGUAUGAUAUAUGUAAUUAAAUAUUGUUGAGUCUAUUUUCAUGGAAAAAUAACGGUUUAGGAAAAAAAAUUUUAUAUUUUGAGAUAUGUGAAUUUUGGUGAGACAGGGUCAGGACCGUUUUUUGAGUCCCCUUUUCUGAGUUUAUAAAAUCACUAAAAAUUGUAAAAAAAAUAUUUAUGAGUUGUAAUUUAUAUGUAUAGAUUUGUUAUUGAGUCUAUUUUUUGUAGAAACAAGUGAGAACAGCAUAUGAAAAUUAUACAAUUAUAAAACUUAUUUUUAGUGGCAAGAGGUCAGGACAGUCGGGUGGUAAAACAUGUGAAACUUUAACUAAUAAACUGUACUAAUUGGUUGAACCAAAAAUUCUAAAAAAAUUAUGGUAAAAAUAUAUAGGAGUCUAGUUUCAGGUAAAAUUUAUGGAUCUAAAUUUUUAGUUUUGUAGCUCGAGUUAUAAUUAAUUUAGUAACUGCUGCGCAAGUGGACAGUUUUGUCAUAAAUAGUGAGAUAAAUUUUAAAAGUAAAUUUUUAUGCCCCGAACUUUUAAGUUAAGUCAAGUAACGCCUCAUGCUUUACUCCAGAAUGGCCUCGGGUAAGGGGUGUUAUAUUUUAUUGGUAUCAGAGCAGGUUUAGCCGGUUAUCGGAAUAUUCAGUAUGAAUAAGAGUCUAGCUAUACAUGCGAUACUUGUAUUUUGAUAGUGUGACGACUCCUGACGAUUUUAAAAUGUGUUCUUUUAUAUUAUGGAUCCUGAACGAGCUGGUGCAGAUGAUGUAGAGAGUAAUGCACCCGCUCCCACAGAAGGGACGGUGCCACAAGAUGUUAGUGAAAGGCCCGUUAUAGUUAGUUAGGGAGGAGGGGCUCGAAAAGCCUUCUUCCAAGCAAUGAAUGAUUGGUUUGUCGAGUUUGUUCGUACGAAUCCGGCU
rnacentral:lncRNA from 1 species